UAGAAAUAUGGUGGAGGUUAUCAAAGUGACAGGUGGUGCAUGGUUGUCGUCAGCUCGUGUCAUGAGAUGUUUGGUUAAGUCCCGCAACGAGCGCAACCCUACUCUUUAGUUGUUUGUCUAAAGAGACUGAACAGUAAUGUAUAGGAAGGAUGGGAUCACGUCAAAUCAUCAUGCCCCUUAUGCCUUGGGCUGCAAACGUGUUACAAUGGCGAGUACAAUGUGUUGCAAAUCAGCGAUGGUAAGCUAAUCACCAAAACUCGUCUCAGUCCGGAUAAAAGGCUGCAAUUCGCCUUUUUGA
rnacentral:rRNA from 1 species